ACUCCUACGGGAGGCAGCAGUGGGGAAUAUUGCACAAUGGGCGCAAGCCUGAUGCAGCCAUGCCGCGUGUGUGAAGAAGGCCUUCGGGUUGUAAAGCACUUUCAGUUGUGAGGAAGGUGGUGUCGUUAUAGCGGCGAUCAUUUGACGUUAGCAACAGAAGAAGCACCGGCUAACUCCGUGCCAGCAGCCGCGGUAAUACGGAGGGUGCGAGCGUUAAUCGGAAUUACUGGGCGUAAAGCGCAUGCAGGUGGUUUGUUAAGUCAGAUGUGAAAGCCCGGGGCUCAACCUCGGAACGCAUUUGAAACUGGCAGACUAGAGUACUNUAGAGGGGGUGAGAAGUUUCAGGUGUAGCGGUGAAAUGCGUAGAGAUCUGAAGGAAUACCGGUGGCGAAGGCGG
rnacentral:rRNA from 1 species